rnacentral:rRNA from 1 species
CGAGGAGCUUGCUCCUUUGACGUUAGCGGCGGACGGUUGAGUAACACGUAGGUAACCUACCUAUAAGACUGGGAUAACUUCGGGAAACCGGAGCUAAUACCGGAUAAUAUUUCGAACCGCAUGGUUCGAUAGUGAAAGAUGGCUUUGCUAUCACUUAUAGAUGGACCUGCGCCGUAUUAGCUAGUUGGUGAGGUAACGGCUCACCAAGGCAACGAUACAUAGCCGACCUGAGAGGGUGAUCGGCCACACUGGGACUGAGACACGGCCCAGACUCCUACGGGAGGCAGCAGUAGGGAAUCUUCGGCAAUGGGGGCAACCCUGACCGAGCAACGCCGCGUGAGUGAAGAAGGUUUUCGGAUCGUAAAGCUCUGUUGUAAGAGAAGAACGAGUGUGAGAGUGGAAAGUUCACACUGUGACGGUAACUUACCAGAAAGGGACGGCUAACUACGUGCCAGCAGCCGCGGUAAUACGUAGGUCCCGAGCGUUAUCCGGAUUUAUUGGGCGUAAAGCGAGCGCAGGCGGUUAGAUAAGUCUGAAGUUAAAGGCUGUGGCUUAACCAUAGUACGCUUUGGAAACUGUUUAACUUGAGUGCAGAAGGGGAGAGUGGAAUUCCAUGUGUAGCGGUGAAAUGCGUAGAUAUAUGGAGGAACACCGGUGGCGAAAGCGGCUCUCUGGUCUGUAACUGACGCUGAGGCUCGAA